AACGAACGCUGGCGGCAUGCCUAACACAUGCAAGUCGAACGAGACCUUCGGGUCUAGUGGCGCACGGGUGCGUAACGCGUGGGAUCCUGCCCUUAGGUUCGGAAUAACUCCCCGAAAGGGGUGCUAAUACCGGAUAAUGUCUUCGGACCAAAGAUUUAUCGCCUUUGGAUGGGCCCGCGUUGGAUUAGCUAGUUGGUAGGGUAAAAGCCUACCAAGGCGACGAUCCAUAGCUGGUCUGAGAGGAUGAUCAGCCACACUGGGACUGAGACACGGCCCAGACUCCUACGGGAAGCAGCAGUGGGGAAUAUUGGACAAUGGGCGAAAGCCUGAUUCAGCAAUGCCGCGUGAGUGAUGAAGGCCUUAGGGUUGUAAAGCUCUUUUACCCGGGAUGAUAAUGACAGUACCGGGAGAAUAAGCUCCGGCUAACUCCGUG
rnacentral:rRNA from 1 species